GUGGGAGGGGGCUUGCUCCCGAUGGCAAUGGGUCAGUCACAUAUGCAUCGACUGACACACCCUCAUCGGGAGCAAGCCCCCUCCCAC
rnacentral:misc_RNA from 1 species